rnacentral:lncRNA from 13 species
AUGGCAACCCUGACACCCACACCCAGGCGUUUCGAAAGCCCGGCCCCACCAGGAUCCCUAAACCCAAAGGCUACGGCACCCAGAGGGACAAACAGCACUAUUAACACUGGACAGAGCAAAGGACAGCUGCCGGCCACCGUGCACUCUGGGAGAAACACUGUGAAUGGUCAGACUGCGUCCAACAGGAGAGAUGGUCCAACCACAUUCGUUCAGAACAUUGCAGAAAUGUAAUAACUAGAGCUGUGACACAAUUCCAUAUUUUACUGACUGAGUAAAUAACAAAUUGCAGAUGCUAUAAUAUUGAGACCAACUGCUUGCACUAGUGCUGUGUAAAUCAAUAAAGAAUUGAUUUGUCUGCCAUUUUGUGCAAUCGUUUGUCUAUCUCUCAAUUUUUUGGUCUAUUGAAAUGUUCCUAUCCUCCUUAAAAGUUGUCUAGUAGGACUGGGAAUUGCCAGGGACCUUACGAUAUGAUAUUAUCAUGAUACUUAAGUGACGAUACAAUAUGCAUUGCGAUUCGAUACUGGGAUUUUAUUGUGAUUCAAUGUUCCAAACAUAUUGCUCACCACAUGUCUUCCGCAGAGGGAAAAGAAAGAGCCAAGAGAAUUCGUCCCUCCGUGAAAUUAUUGUGAUAUUGUCAAAACGAUAUG